rnacentral:lncRNA from 1 species
AUUUACAAACAUCAUUAUUACAUCGCAAUUUUUUUAUAAAAAAAAUGUUUACAACAAUUUAUAAAAUAAUUAUUGUUUUCUUUUUUGUAUGGACAUGGGCCAAUAACAGUAAAGCACACUUAGAAAAUAUUUUAAGCGCAAAAUAUAGUAGGUCAUUGGCUCAACAUGAUAUUUCUCCGAACGAACAGAAUGAUCAUUCUUAUGUAGCAGAUUAUAACAACGACAAAACAUAUGAACCUAGUAAAAAUAUAAAAAAAUCUAAAAAUAAGAUUAAUGAAAAAAAUUUGCAAAAAGAAGAGUAUAAUGAAAAAAAAUCUAUUUAUUUAGCCGAAAUGAAGCAAGAAUUAAUUAAAAUAUUAUCUAACAAAAAUGAAACCCAAAAUAUACUAAAAGAAACAACAAAUAUACAAGAAAAAGAUUUACUAGAAAUAUAUGAUCUUAUUAAACAUGUCAUUCCAACUGACAAAUAUUUACAAAUUAUAAGAAAAAGUUGUGAAUUAUCAAAAAAUAAACAUCGUGAUGAUAAACACUAUGUUGAUACAUAUUACAAGUCAAUAUCACACUUAUUGCGCACAUACUUCUUUCUUACUAACAGUAAAAAAUAUUUUAGCAAAGAUUUUAUGCAGCUACAAAAUCAGGAACAACCACUAUCUAAAAACAAUAAAUUCACAUUUAAAUUGGAAUAUUUAAAUAUAUUCAGGCUCGUUAGAAUAAUAGAUAAAAUAUUUAAGACUAGUUUACUUAAACAAAUGAUAAACAAAGAAAUAAAUCCAAAUGCAAAAUUACCAUAUAAAAAACGUUUAAAGUUAUUUAGUUAUGCAUUUUUUUACCCAAUAUUACUAUAUGGAAUUUCAAUUUUUACUUUACCUUUAUGGUCUCUAGCCUCUACAUUUACAUUGCUAGGGCUGUAUGCAUCCUUAUGUGUACACUCUAAUUAUAAAUUCAUUAAAGACAUACAUUUUAUAAGACGAAUAAUGCAAAGAUCGGAACUAUUAAACAGAG